rnacentral:tRNA from 1 species
GGGCACGUAGCUGAACUGGAAGCCUCACGAGGGCGCACAGCACCGGAUUGGUAAUCCGGAGAAUGUUGGUUCGAGUCCAACCGUGCCCG